CCUACGGGUGGCAGCAGUGGGGAAUAUUGGGCAAUGGGCGAAAGCCUGACCCAGCAACGCCGCGUGAAGGAAGAAGGCUUUCGGUUUGUAAACUUCUUUUGACAGGGAAGAGCAGAAGACGGUACCUGUCGAAUAAGCCACUGCUAACUACGUGCCAGCCGCCGCGGUAAUACGUAGGGGGCAAGCGUUGUCCGGAUUUACUGGGUGUAAAGGGAGUGUAGACGGGAUGGCAAGUCAGAUGUGAAAUCCGGUGGCUCAACCACCGAACUGCAUUUGAAACUGUUGGUCUUGAGUACAGGAGAGGCAAGCGGAAUUCCUAGUGUAGCGGUGAAAUGCGUAGAUAUUAGGAGGAACACCAGUGGCGAAGGCGGCCUACUGGACGACAACUGACGGUGAGGCGCGAAAGCGUGGGGAGCAAACAGGAUUAGAUACCCGAGUAGUC
rnacentral:rRNA from 1 species